CUGAAAGCAGGGGCCGGGGUGAAGAGGGAGACCCAGGCUUCUCAGAUCCACUUCCCCUUUGACUAUCAUGCUGCAUUUCGAUAGAAGAAAAGGGUGACCGACUGGCGCCUCCAGUUUCACCUUCCUAUAGGUGACAGGCUAGGCUUUGGGGAAACUCUCCAGAAGGCACUAUUUUUACUUAAAACA